rnacentral:lncRNA from 1 species
GCGGCGAUGGUGACCGGCUGCGCUGGACCAGUCACCGCCCGCCUCCCAGGACCCCCCUCAGGCCAGAGGCCCCCAGCUCACAAGCCGGCCCUGAAUCAUCCCCGUUCCUGGGCCCGUCUCCACGUUCUUUCUCUGGGAAAGCAGGGCCCAGGCUUCUGCUCCCUCUUCAAUACAGCACACAUGAACACUUUGGGAGUGUCACCUUAAAAAUAAAAAACACAACGUGAGAGUUGAGAGUUAAGUUUUACUUGGGACAGAAUGAGGACUAGAACCUGGGUGGCAGCAUUCAGAGAGACCCAAGAAACUACUCCAAAAAACUGGGACCUCAGUGAGUCCGGACACCAGGCCAAGUGUGGAAAAGAAAGGAAGAAGGAAGAGAGGAGGCAUCCGUUGAUGAACUUCAGAUGCCAAGAUAAAGGAGACUUGCUUUUCGACGAGAUGACACUGGCCCUGCUGGUCGGGCUUCCGGGGAGAGGAGGUCUGAACUGCUCGGCUGCUGUCUACUGGCUGAUAAUGGGAUGAAAACAACACACAUCAAACAGUGAGCGGGGCUGUUAACAAGGUAGCCCUUCCUGGGAUCCUGGCGCCUUCAUCCAGUCAGGCCGGUGCCUUGAGCACCCACCCAAAAGUGGCGAGGGGAGUUCCUUGGGACCCUUCAAGUCCUAGCGUGUGGGUGAGAGCCCCCGGCUCCGGGAACGGCAAGCGGCAGGUAAGUCUUCCUGGAAGGCGCCGUCCCCCUCUCCGGGCUGGCUCUGCAGCCUUUCCCUCGGAGUCGCAGUCUAGGAAGCAGGCUCCUCGCUAAGUAUUUGGCAUUUGAUCCUCAGAACGGUCAUCUUGCCGGAACUCGGCCUCUGUUCGCUGGUGCUCAAUAGAAACGCGGAGACGGAGCUUUGGAUGAAGUAGAGAAGGCAGGCCUGAUUGCUUUGCCAGGAAGGGGGGGCCACAGCGGGCCAGGGCCCUCGGAACUUUUUGGGGGGCGGUGAGGAGUCUCACAGUGUCAAGGAGCAGGGCGUGGCCAGCUCGUGGGCGUUCUUCUGAUGGGUGGGUGGUGAGGUCACGGGGAGUCCGCGCCGUCACCCCUCUGGUUCCAGUUGGUCUGGGGUCUCCGUGCUUGUGGGCAGCACAUGGUUGGCUUCCUCCCCUUGGCGGGGGUGAACUGCUCCGAGGACAUGGCUCAGAAUAGUAUCUCUGGUCUUUGAGAAAGAAUGUAAGGUCCUUGACUUUGUUGAGUGGCUAAAGUAUUAUUUUGUCUUGCUGGACUGCUUUUCCUUUCGCUUUGCAUUUUCUCACGUCUCUGAUUAAGUUUGAUUUUUUGGACUAAAGUUUUUCUACAGACCAAAGGCAGGCAGAGGACCUGGGGGCGGGGGCGGGAUCUGUUCUGGGAAGGCCCCAUAGCGUCUGGCUCGGUUACCCUAAAGAGAGGUAUUUUUUCCCCAUUUGACAGUUGGGAGAAGGGAACCCCAACAGCAAAAAAGUCUCAGGAGGACUCAGGCCUCCUGAAACAGCAUGGCCCCUGCUGCCCCUGUGGCUUUUCUGAAGAUGCAGCCCAGUUGAGUCUGAUUUGCUGAUUAUUGCAGACCUCUGGGCAUGAAGCUCUGAAAUCGAGAAGCGGGUGUGGCUGGUGAUGAAGGUAAACCGCACAGUCAGCUCAGCUCAUGGAGAGUCCAGCGUCUGUUGUUGUUGCUUUCAUCCUCCGGGGAAGCCAGUUUUUAGUGCUCAAAGUUUAGUAAAACAAUUUCCUACACUCGUUUAAUCAUUUCCACUUUACAAACAAACUGAGGUUUCAGCAUACCAGGGGACUUGUCCUGGCUGAUUCUGCAGGUUACGGGGAGCCAGGACUUCUGACCCAAGUCUGGAGGGAUGCUUCUCUGGCUUGGAGGAUCAAUGAAAAAUCAAAUCUGAGUUGUUCCACUGAGGUGAUGGAGUGUGCGAUUACUACAGCCUCUUAGAUAUUUAAAAUCGUAUGUUGCAAAAGACCAGUCCUACCCAUUUGCUGGGUGAGCGGGUGUUGGUACCACAAGCCAUCCUCAUACUUAAGCACAGUGGAUUGGAACGUACGGCAAAUAAACAGCGUUUUUUCCUGGCUCAGUGAGGGUAACGGCUGCUUUUGAAGAAUUAUUGCAGGUGUUUCUAGGCGAUGAAUAAAGUUACUGAGGUCGUGCAGGUGGAGCAUCUAGGCAUGGAAUUUAGAAAUUUCAAGAACUCGAAAAUUUUCCUUCCACCCCCUCCAGCUUGCACAGUGAACGUGAUUAAGCGCUUCACGGGGUGGGACCCUGCGGAGGCCAGCGAGGUGGGCGACUCGGCUCCCCUCCCAGACCCCAUGUGGUCGGGAAACUGCACUGAAGGGCUCUGGCCACACUGCAGAGGGUCUCACGGUGUCCAGCGGGCCAGCUCCCAGGGGACCUAACGGAAAGAAGAAUGGACGGAUGAAAAUCCGAAAGUCCCCAGGCCGUCCUCUCCCCACAGCCCGUCUGGAGGCACCCCAGAGGCCGACUGACUCUUUGCCUCUAAAUAUUUCAUCUGUGUGGCAACGGGACAGACUCAGGUGAGAAAACUGGAGUCAGUGUCACAGGGCCAACUUGGGCAGCCCUUUGGCGAGGCCACCUGCUUGAGCAGCUGGACGAUGGUAGUUAGGGAGGUCAGACGCCUCAUCUAAGCCCUCGCUUGGCCGCUUAUGGUCUGCCCUCCGUUGUGUUGCUUUAUCAACCUGGACCUCAGUUUGCUCAUCUUUAAAAUGGGGAUACAGGAGUCCCUGGUGGCUUAGUGGUGCAUGGCUUGACUUCUGUCACUGCUGUGGCUCUGGUUGCAUCCCUGGCUGUGGAGUUUCUGCAUGCCACAGGCCCAGCCACAUACAUUUAAAAAAUAAAUAAAAUUGGGAUAUGAACAGCCCGCAGCUCAAAGGAACUGAAAAUCAAAUAGCGAGCCAAGUGUGGCAGAAUUCCACUUUCCUUGUCCACAUGAUGCAUAGAUAAUAGUUGUCUUACUUUCUAUCAUAGGAUGAUGCUGAGGGGCCAGGAAAAAAAAAAAAAAGAUAACUGUGAUUUAAAGAAAAAGAGGAUUCUUUUAAAAUAAUAAAGAAAUAUUUGUCGUGAUCACGUUUCUCAGUAUCCUCUCGAUCGCCCUGGACUUUAUAGACUUCCCGAGGAGGAGACUGCAGGAGGAAGCUGGAUCAGACGUCACUGGACCCUUGUCCCGUGACCUGUCACCCUCCCAGCCACCCUCAGCCUGUGAACCAAGGUGAACUAUGACCUCGGCAUGUACACAGCCAGGUGUCAAGGCUGAGAGCCGCCAGUGUAUGUGGACAGGGAGAUGAGCUCAUUACAAUAGAAGCAGUCCUACUAUUUAGCCCUCAUUCCUAUACUGGAGACUUGAGCUGCCAUUUAUCCUUCAGGGAUACAGGACACUCGGCCUUAUACACCCACGAGAACCUUGGGGAAGUGUUGACUCAAUCGCCUCUCUGAGUAAUGAGCUCCCUGCCUUUGCCUGAAGGGUCCCCAUUGGUGCAGGCUGCUUGUUGUCCCUGGCAGACAGGACGAGGUGGGCCAAGCAAGCCAAUUAAUAUUCCGCCAAAUCCUUGUUCGGUGUGGUGUGUUUAUCAUAUUGGUCUACCCUUCCGAAGCCAAGAGCAAAUUAAGUGAGCACUGGCUCAUGUUACCUUGAAAAUGCCAUACAGAUAAAAAUCCAAUUGUUACCUUCUGAGUAGUUGGAAGAUUAAUUAGAAAUGCUAUCCAUUCGGCGUUCAGUUUCCUGUGUCCAACUGAUGUUUGCGGGAAAUUGCAGCCUCUGUCCAGCGUGGCAGUGUUUAUCGGGUGUCUCCGUGUUCGAAAACGACCUCAUUAACAAUUUUGCUGGUGCUUUUUUCUCCUUCUAAAAAUAGUGUCGACAAAUUGGCACCAACUCCUGAAUAUCUGCUUCCAUCCUGUUUCAGCAGCCAACUCAUGGAUUGCCAGUUUAUGACGUGCCCAUCUCAACAUAAAAACGCCUCUUCUGCCAGAUGCAAGAGGGAUCAACCUACAGCUCGAAGCAGGACAAGAGUUCUUGAGGUGCUGAGCGCUGUAAAAGUGCAAGCCCAUGUUCUAGGCAGAAAAACUGAGAGUUUUGUGUAGUUUGGUUUUUGUUUUUUUACCUUCCCUCCGCCAUAUUUUCUUUCAAGGACUUUGUUUUUGUUUUGGCCACACCCGGGGCAUGUGGAAAUUCCCGAGCCAGGUAUCAAACACACACCCCAGCAGCGACAACACCAGAUCCUUAACCCACUGAGCCACGGGGGGAAUCCUUCUUUCAAGGACUUGGAAAAUUGGCUGUCUUCAUGUUCAACGCUGGAGCCACCGGAGACUUGGGUCCCAGAGAAGUCAGGGCAGGAGGUAGCUUCCGGCUCCACCGUCCACAGCAUCCCGGUGACGAGGAGGAGGGCAUGGGGGCAAAGGAGGCUUUCACAUCCCGCUGGGACGGGCCCGGCGCCCAGCCCGGUGCCCCCAUCGGCCGGCUGUGCUCUCGAGGCACAGAAUGCACCUGCCCCUUCUGCAGAGACCAUGGCCAGGGAACUGAAGACACCAUUGGGAGAAGCCCACGCUCUUUGGCUCCCCAUUUAUUGAAGAAGUUUGUCAGUGAGGGAUACUUGGCCCAUUGUCCCAUUUCUGCUGCCAUUCCUGUUUUUGUGUUUCUUUCACACUUGCUGGAAUUUGCCCAGCCCUGGCACCCACGGCUGCAGGCUGCUCUUUGUGGGUCUCCAUGCUGCUCCCUUGCACCCUCACAUGUGCAUACUCACACCCUCCCACAUCCGCACACACACCCCUGCUCUCUCUGGCUAAUUGCUUCUUCUCUCUCAAAGUCACAACUCAGGGUGAAGGACUGACUCAGCCACACGUCUACACUGAAGGCUGUUCCCGUACUUAGAGGAUAUUUCUUAGCUAAAGCGAUGGAUGCAGAUGGGCAAAGCUGCAGGCAGGACCCCAUGGCCUGAGAAGUCACAGGGCCCCGGGAGAGAAGGCGCACAGUGGGUGGGCGUGGUGCCAUGGCUUUCAAGGAUUUUGGUUGAUCUGGGAUAACCAGGCAUUGACGUCACUGCAAAACCAGCCCAGCAGAGAGAUCGGAGGGCCACUUAGAGACCCGGGCUGGUUCCACCACUGAGAUAUUUUAUGGUGUGCAAGGCAGAUACUCUGAUGGGAUUGGCUCAGCAUCAGAAGGAUGCCUCUUGAAGUUCGAACCCCUAGCCUGGGAAUUUCCAUAUGACGCAGGUAGGUAGGUGCCGCUUUAAAAAGAAAAAGAAAAAAAAA